GCUCCGGUGGCCUAGUGGUUAGAGCGUCUGACUAGAAUGUGGGAAGUCGUGGGUUCAAACCCCAGCCGAGUCA